AGAGUUUGAUCCUGGCUCAGAUUGAACGCUAGCGGCAUGCUUAACACAUGCAAGUCGAACGGUAACAGCGAGAGCUUGCUCUCGGCUGACGAGUGGCGGACGGGUGAGUAAUGCUUAGGAAUCUGCCCAGUAGCGGGGGAUAGCUCGGAGAAAUCCGAAUUAAUACCGCAUACGCCCUACGGGGGAAAGCAGGGGAUCUUCGGACCUUGCACUAUUGGAUGAGCCUAAGUCAGAUUAGUUUGUUGGUGGGGUAAUGGCCUACCAAGGCGACGAUCUGUAGCUGGUCUGAGAGGACGAUCAGCCACACUGGAACUGAGACACGGUCCAGACUCCUACGGGAGGCAGCAGUGGGGAAUAUUGCACAAUGGGGGCAACCCUGAUGCAGCAAUGCCGCGUGUGUGAAGAAGGCCUGCGGGUUGUAAAGCACUUUCAAUAGUGAGGAAAAGUUGUAGGUUAAUACCCUGCAACCCUGACGUUAACUAUAGAAGAAGCACCGGCUAACUCCGUGCCAGCAGCCGCGGUAAUACGGAGGGUGCGAGCGUUAAUCGGAAUUACUGGGCGUAAAGCGUGCGUAGGCGGCAUGGUCANUCGGAUGUGAAAGCCCNGGCUUAACCUGGGAAUUGCA
rnacentral:rRNA from 1 species